rnacentral:tRNA from 1 species
UGGGGAUCUAGCUCAGUUGGUAGAGUGCUUGCCUUGUGUGCACAAGGCCCUGGGUUUAAUCCCCAGAACCACAA